rnacentral:misc_RNA from 1 species
GUUCACAGUAAAAGUUCUUGCAAAAUAUCAAUCCUCAUCUCAGAUCAUGUAACUCUUGAAAUAGAGUGUCUGUGAUGCAGACCAUCCCCAAUCCCCAAGAAAGUUUAAGGCAAAAAUAAUAAAUAAAGAAAAAUCAAAGAAAAUCAAACAAAUAUAUGGGCCUGAACACACGUAUCCUUCAUAUUUUAAGGGUGGGAUUGCCCAAGAUGAUUCUUAUUCUCCUAGCCCUUAACCUCCUCACUAAGGGACUUUGGAAAGCAAUGGAAGUAACUGUGCCAUAUAGGCAACAUUCUU